AAUCCAUAGGUUAAUGAGGCGAACCGGGGGAACUGAAACAUCUAAGUACCCCGAGGAAAAGAAAUCAACCGAGAUUCCCCCAGUAGCGGCGAGCGAACGGGGAGGAGCCCAGAGCCUGAAUCAGCAUGUGUGUUAGUGGAAGCGUCUGGAAAGGCGCGCGAUACAGGGUGACAGCCCCGUACACAAAAGCGCAUGUGCUGUGAGCUCGAUGAGUAGGGCGGGACACGUGGUAUCCUGUCUGAAUAUGGGGGGACCAUCCUCCAAGGCUAAAUACUCCUGACUGACCGAUAGUGAACCAGUACCGUGAGGGAAAGGCGAAAAGAACCCCGGCGAGGGGAGUGAAAAAGAACCUGAAACCGUGUACGUACAAGCAGUGGGAGCACAGGUUUACCUGUGUGACUGCGUACCUUUUGUAUAAUGGGUCAGCGACUUAUAUUCUGUAGCAAGGUUAACCGAAUAGGGGAGCCGGAGGGAAACCGAGUCUUAAUUGGGCGUUAAGUUGCAGGGUAUAGACCCGAAACCCGGUGAUCUAGCCAUGGGCAGGUUGAAGGUUGGGUAACACUAACUGGAGGACCGAACCGACUAAUGUUGAAAAAUUAGCGGAUGACCUGUGGCUGGGGGUGAAAGGCCAAUCAAACCGGGAGAUAGCUGGUUCUCCCCGAAAGCUAUUUAGGUAGCGCCUCGUGAAUUCAUCUCCGGGGGUAGAGCACUGUUUCGGCUAGGGGGCCAUCCCGGCUUACCAACCCGAUGCAAACUGCGAAUACCGGAGAAUGUUAUCACGGGAGACACACGGCGGGUGCUAACGUCCGUCGUGAAGAGGGAAACAACCCAGACCGCCAGCUAAGGUCCCAAAGUCAUGGUUAAGUGGGAAACGAUGUGGGAAGGCCCAGACAGCCAGGAUGUUGGCUUAGAAGCAGCCAUCAUUUAAAGAAAGCGUAAUAGCUCACUGGUCGAGUCGGCCUGCGCGGAAGAUGUAACGGGGCUAAACCAUGCACCGAAGCUGCGGCAGCGAACGUAUCACUUAAAGCGAUUCAGCGGGUUACGAUUGACGGAGCGA
rnacentral:rRNA from 1 species